rnacentral:rRNA from 1 species
UAAUACGUAGGGGGCGAGCGUUGUCCGGAUUUAUUGGGCGUAAAAGGCUUGUAGGCGGCCACGCCAAGUCGGAUGUGAAAUCUCCCGGCUCACCUGGGAGCGGUCAUUCGAUACUGGCGGGCUCGAGGCAGGUAGGGGGAAGCGGAAUUCCCGGUGUAGUGGUGGAAUGCGUAGAUAUCGGGAGGAACACCAGUGGCGAAGGCGGCUUCCUGGACCUGUUCUGACACUGAGGAGCGAAAGCGUGGGGAGCGAUCCGGA